GCUACGGCCAUACCAGCCUGGGUACGCCCGAUCUCGUCUGAUCUCGGAAGCUAAGCAGGGUCGUGCCUGGUUAGUACUUGGAUGGAGACCGCCUGGGAAAACCAGGUGCUGUAAGCA
rnacentral:rRNA from 1 species